UACGUAGGGUGCAAGCGUUGUCCGGAAUUAUUGGGCGUAAAGAGCUCGUAGGCGGUUUGUCGCGUCGAAUGUGAAAACCUGGGGCUCAACCCCGGGCCUGCAUUCGAUACGGGCAGACUAGAGUUCGGUAGGGGAGUCUGGAAUUCCUGGUGUAGCGGUGAAAUGCGCAGAUAUCAGGAGGAACACCGGUGGCGAAGGCGGUUCUCUGGGCAUGUCCUGACGCUGAGGAGCGAAAGUGUGGGGAGCGAACAGG
rnacentral:rRNA from 1 species